rnacentral:rRNA from 1 species
AGCAGCCGCGGUAAUUCCAGCUCCAAUAGCGUAUAUUAAAGUUGUUGCAGUUAAAAAGCUCGUAGUUGAAUUUCGGGAUCAGUGGGUCGGUCGUGCCACUGGUAUGCACUGGCCCUACUGGUUCCUCCUUCUUGAAGAACUGUAAUGCCAUUAGUUUGGUGUUGCAGGGAAACAGGACUGUUACUUUGAAAAAAUUAGAGUGUUUAAAGCAGGCAAUCGCUUGAAUACAUUAGCAUGGAAUAAUGAAAUAGGACGUUCGAUCCUAUUUUGUUGGUUUCUAGGAUUGACGUAAUGAUUAAUAGGGAUAGUUGGGGGCAUUAGUAUUCAAUUGUCAGAGGUGAAAUUCUUGGAUUUAUUGAAGACUAACUACUGCGAAAGCAUUUGCCAAGGAUGUUUUCAUUAAUCAAGAACGAAAGUUAGGGGAUCGAAGACGAUUAGAUACCGUCGUAGUCUUAACCAUAAACUAUGCCGACUAGGGAUCGGAUGAUGUAAUUUUUAAUGACUCAUUCGGCGCCUUAAC